rnacentral:rRNA from 1 species
UGGGAAUUUGGACAAUGGGCGAAAGCCUGAUCCAGCAAUGCCGCGUGUGUGAAGAAGGCCUUCGGGUUGUAAAGCACUUUUGUCCGGAAAGAAAUCCUUGGCUCUAAUACAGUCGGGGGAUGACGGUACCGGAAGAAUAAGCACCGGCUAACUACGUGCCAGCAGCCGCGGUAAUACGUAGGGUGCAAGCGUUAAUCGGAAUUACUGGGCGUAAAGCGUGCGCAGGCGGUUUGCUAAGACCGAUGUGAAAUCCCCGGGCUCAACCUGGGAACUGCAUUGGUGACUGGCAGGCUAGAGUAUGGCAGAGGGGGGUAGAAUUCCACGUGUAGCAGUGAAAUGCGUAGAGAUGUGGAGGAAUACCGAUGGCGAAGGCAGCCCCCUGGGCCAAUACUGACGCUCAUGCACGAAAGCGUGGGGAGCAAACAGGAUUAGAUACCCUGGUAGUCCACGCCCUAAACGAUGUCAACUAGUUGUUGGGGAUUCAUUUCCUUAGUAACGUAGCUAACGCGUGAAGUUGACCGCCUGGGGAGUACGGUCGCAAGAUUAAAACUCAGAUGAAUUGACGGGGUCAUAGCUGUUCCU